GGUCUGCGCGUGUCACGAAGGGGCCCGCAGCCUCAGGGGCGUCCUGGGCGCCGCGACCCCGGCGGCCCGCGACGCACAGGGUCGGCCCGGGACUCACCGGGUGGAGGUGCCCUUCCGCACAUCGCACAUCAUGCACUUGAAGGCCUCCGCGCUGUUCCGGAAGGUGCAGACGCUACAGUCCCAGUAACCCUCAUCCGAGGACGGCUUCGGCUGCCGCUUCGGCCUGCAGGACACAACCGGGACACGACGCAGCGCGGGGUCAUCAGCAGGCCGCGCCCGGCGCCCGAGCCCCGGCCGCCCCCGCCCCGCCCCCCGCCCCAAUUCCGCGACCCCAGUCCCGCGGGCCCUGGGCGCGCCGCGCUCCGGCUCGGAGGGGGAGGGGACCAGGAAGGGGCAGGGCGCGAUCCCAGUCGCACUCGCAGUGGCCGCUACGGUUCUGAUACCGAGGGCUGCCGCUUGGGCCGCCGCUGCCGCCAUCGUGGCUCCAUUGUGGGGUAGCCGACGCCGGCCCCUCACGCGGCAGCGCUCGCGCAGCAGCGGCGCCGCCCCCGUUCUCACCCGGGUGCCUGGGCGGCGAGCGAGGUGGCCGCCUGGAGCCCCGCGCGAAGGCCCUGCCGCCUGCAAGUCCGGGCCCCGGGGCCCAGGCACUGUUACCUGGUGGGGCUCUUCUUGUCUCCCAUCGCUUGGCUAGUAACGCACGCCCAGAGUCGCCGCGGCGGCCGCUCUGUUUGUCAAUACGAAGGAUAAUAAGCCGGGCGGAAGCGGGCGGGGGAGGAGAAGGGGGGCGGGGAAGGCCGCACCGCCGAGCUCCGGAGCCGCCGCCGGAUCCCACGCAGCCUCCAGCUGUCGGGGAAACUCCUGCCCGGCGCACGUGACCCGCGCCCGCCAACCAGCGGCCGCGCCGGAGACUUCAAACGCGGCCAGCGCGGCCCAGCACCCGCGGUCCUGGGGAUUGAAGCCAGGGACAUCCUACUACUGUACUACAUUUGCAGCCCUUUUUGUUUUAUCUUGGGACAGAUCUCCUUUGGUUGAGAAGGCUGAUCCAGAACUUGUGAUUCUCUUACCUCAGUCUCCUGAGCAGGUAGAAUUACUGAGCUACAGUAACAAAAAUGGCACAGUAUUGGCAUCAAAACAGACAUGAAG